UACGUAGGGUGCGAGCGUUGUCCGGAAUUACUGGGUGUAAAGGGUCCGCAGGCGGAUCUGUAAGUCGAUGGUGAAAACUCUGGGCUCAACCCAGAGUCUGCUGUCGAUACUAUAGAUCUUGAGUUUGAGAGAGGAUAAUGGAAUUCAUGGUGUAGCGGUGAAAUGCGUAGAGAUCAUGAAGAACACCGGUAGCGAAGGCGGUUAUCUGGCUCAAAACUGACGCUCAGGGACGAAAGCGUGGGUAGCAAACAGG
rnacentral:rRNA from 1 species